CGUUACUCGGAAUUACUGGGCGUAAAGCGUGCGUAGGUGGUUUGUUAAGUCUGAUGUGAAAGCCCUGGGCUCAACCUGGGAAUUGCAUUGGAUACUGGCAGGCUAGAGUGCGGUAGAGGAUGGCGGAAUUCCCGGUGUAGCAGUGAAAUGCGUAGAGAUCGGGAGGAACAUCUGUGGCGAAGGCGGCCAUCUGGACCAGCACUGACACUGAGGCACGAAAGCGUGGGGAGCAAACAGGAUUAGAUACCCUGGUAGUCCACGCCCUAAACGAUGCGAACUGGAUGUUGGGAGCAACUAGGCUCUCAGUAUCGAAGCUAACGCGUUAAGUUCGCCGCCUGGGGAGUACGGUCGUAAGACUG
rnacentral:rRNA from 1 species